CCUACGGGUGGCUGCAGUGGGGAAUAUUGGACAAUGGGGGAAACCCUGAUCCAGCAAUGCCGCGUGGGUGAAGAAGGCCUGCGGGUUGUAAAGCCCAAACAACCCGAAAAUUUAACUCACUAAAGAAGCCCCGGCUAACUCUGUGCCAGCAGCCGCGGUAAUACAGAGGGUGCGAGCGUUAAUCGGAAUUACUGGGCGUAAAGCGCACGUAGGUGGUUGGAUAAGUUGGAUGUGAAAUCCCUGAGCGUAACGUGGGAAUUGCAUUCAAGACUGUCUUGCUAGAGUGUGGAAGAGGGAAGCGGAAUUCCGGUGUAGCGGUGAAAUGCGUAGAUAUCUGGAGGAACAUCAGUGGCGAAGGCAGCUUCCUGGUCCAAACUGACACUGAGGUGCGAAAGCGUGGGGAGCAAACAGGAUUAGAUACCCUAGUAGUC
rnacentral:rRNA from 1 species